rnacentral:lncRNA from 1 species
GGGGAGUGCAGCACGUUACUGGUAACACAGGAGCUUCCAGUCUAGUUGGGCGUCUGGACCUGACUGUCCAAACCUAAAUGUGUUUUUCUUUAUUGACUUGUUCUCUUCCUGUGGGACUUGCCUUCUUCCUCCUCCUUCUCAUCUUCUUUAUGUACUACUGCACAAGAGCAUUUUCAUUCUGCACAUCUUGUGAGAUAGGGAAGUCUUCCUGAUUUCCCCUUUCCUUGCCUAACUUGCUGGCUCCAAACCUCAUCUGAAAAAUGAUCUUUUAUUUCUUUAUCCCACAACUUAUUUUUUCUUUUAUCUGUUGUUAAUUUUAUCAAUAGUAUUAUGUAUUAUCUUGUCAAGCUCACUGAAAAUCAUUUUAAAGAGACAAUGCCAAAAAUACAUCAUUUUGUUUUGUCUAGUAUUUAUUCAAUGAAUUCUGAUUUCUGUAGCUGGCUCAGAAGACUGCUGCUUAAUAAGUAACAGUCAAGAGACAUAAAAAAAAAAAAUUAAAUCCAUGUAUUUGGAAUAAGUCAACAAAAUAUCCAACAUAGAAUAAAUACCACCUCUUGGUGUAAAGGAAUUUUAUAUGUUUUUUAAACUUUAUAUCAGUCAUGUCUCUUUGAAAUGUUUUAGGUUCUUACAUCCAGUCUAUUACUGCAAUAUUUUUUCUGAGAGUUUGUGAUCUUUAUGUUUGCUUUUCUUGUGUAUUUGGUGUGAAUUCAUUUCCAGAUAGAAGACUUCCUACUUGUUUGUAACAUGCACAGGGGAAAAUGCAAAAGUUCUUUCCUGGGAGAUCAUAAAAGGCUGUGCAGCUUCAUUGAUAGAAGAUGUUUUAGUUCCUGUGAAGUGGCGAGAAUAUUGUUGCAGGUGUUGCAUAUGGAUACAGGUAAUACUGAAUAUUUUCAUUUUUAAUAAAAGUAUGGAGAAUUUCCCUUUACGUUUUUCCUAUGUGUGUGAAACACUGAACUAUGAAGCAUGAUUCAGGGACAGACCUUGUUAGAACAUCUAGUCCAAGCUCUUGGCUGUUAAGUCCUGCUUAAACAACUUUUUUUUUUUUUUUUCUCUAAGGUUCUGGGCAUAGUUAAGGUCAUCAAGAGUUAAGUUCUUUAAUUAAUUGGUAUUUGGGAAUAAUAUUAGGAAGACUUUAUAGAUACUUGUAUCACUAAAACACUACUGUAGCCAUGAUAGAUAGUCUCUACCACCUUACUUACCUGGAUAGGGAUCUUUCAUUGUUUUUGUAGUAUCUCAUUAAUACUGACUGACAUAAAACUGUCUCAGGAGUAUCGCCCACAGCAACUUUCUCAGAACCAUGAACAUCAUAAAAUUUGGAAUUUAAAAUCUACUAUAUGCAAAAUCCUAUUGACCCAAACACUUUUCAGCACAAAAUCAGAAACCAUCUUGAACACCCCAAAGUUGUUGAUUGUAUCUGGCAGUCUGUUUUUUUGCCACACCUAUCCAAGAAAAACUGAUCUUGCCAUCUGCCUUAGAAACUCAUAGAGGACUUACACCAAAGGCAUUUUUCCAGACAGUUAAGUCAUAUUUGUGAAUAAGCCAACUUCCCAUCACUUGGGUGCAAGGAAGAACGUAUCACAAAACUUCCAAGCAACCGUUGCACAUGACCUGAUGCUGAAAUCUCUGUUAGAAGCCACUGGCAAUUACAAUUUAUGUAGAAGAAAAUGAGGCUUAAAAAAACAUUACCCUGGAUUCCCUCUCCCACUUCCAACCACUCAACCCAAGCAAAUACAUCACUAGAAAUGAAUUUUCUGCAGAUCAACAAAUGUUAAAUGUAACAGCCUUGUAAGAAUGACAUUGCAGUAAAAUUUCUGCUCUAAGGUUAAUUGUUUCAGCCAUACACAAGAAUAUUUUUUUUUGUGAUAUAUUUCAUUCACCACUUCUUUGGAAAGUAUGAGUGAAAAUGGACAACCUCUAUGCAGCAGAACACUUUCACAUGGGCAAUUGAUAAAGAACAAAUGAGUAGCUAUUUGCAUAAAUAGGGUUUCAAAAAUAUUCACUCCAACUUCGACCUUUCUGUCCUGAUUCUUUGAUGAUGAUUUACAGAAAAUAACUGCAAAAAAUAUAAAGAAUAAAUUUUGUAACAUGAAUAAAUAAAAUUGAAUG